rnacentral:rRNA from 1 species
UACGGAGGGGGCUAGCGUUGUUCGGAAUUACUGGGCGUAAAGCGCGCGUCGGCGGGCUGGAAAGUUGGGGGUGAAAUCCCGGGGCUCAACCCCGGAACUGCCUCCAAAACUGUCAGCCUUGAGUUCGAGAGAGGUGAGUGGCAUUCCGAGUGUAGAGGUGAAAUUCGUAGAUAUUCGGAGGAACACCAGUGGCGAAGGCGGCUCACUGGCUCGAUACUGACGCUGCGGUGCGAUAUCGUGGGGAUCAAA